rnacentral:rRNA from 1 species
UACGUAGGGUGCGAGCGUUGUCCGGAAUUAUUGGGCGUAAAGAGCUCGUAGGCGGCUUGUCGCGUCGGAUGUGAAAGCCCGGGGCUUAACUCCGGGUCUGCAUUCGAUACGGGCAGGCUAGAGUUCGGUAGGGGGGAUCGGAAUUCCUGGUGUAGCGGUGAAAUGCGCAGAUAUCAGGAGGAACACCGGUGGCGAAGGCGGAUCUCUGGGCCGAUACUGACGCUGAGGAGCGAAAGCGUGGGGAGCGAACAGG